UGGGGAAUAUUGGACAAUGGGCGCAAGCCUGAUCCAGCCAUGCAGCGUGAGUGAUGAAGGCCCUAGGGGUGUAAAGCUCUUUCACCGGUGAAGAUAAUGACGGUAACCGGAGAAGAAGCCCCGGCUAACUACGUGCCAGCAGCCGCGGUAAUACGAAGGGGGCUAGCGUUGUUCGGAUUUACUGGGCGUAAAGAGCACGUAGGCGGACUUUUAAGUCAGGGGUGAAAUCCAGGGGCUCAACCACGGAACUGCCUUUGAUACUGGAAGUCUUGAGUAUGGUAGAGGUGAGUGGAAUUCCGAGUGUAGAGCUGACAUUCUUAGAUAUUCGGAAGAACACCAGUGGCGAAGGCGGCUCACUGGACCAUUACUGACGCUAAGGUGCAAAAGCGUGGUGAGCAAACAGG
rnacentral:rRNA from 1 species